UCUGCCACCUGCUAGUUCUGUGGCCUUAGGU
rnacentral:piRNA from 1 species